UAGAAAUCUGGUAUCUUACAUCCUCCCCUCCUUAAUAAAAGUUUCGUCCCCGAAACUAACUUCUACCCCAAUUCACACUUAUCGAGUAUCAAGGGUAUAAUGCACUUUUCCACCUCAGAGUGGCCUUAUGCUCAUUGGAACUGUCCAAUGGCCCACUACGGCGGAUGUGAGACUAGAUUCACUCACAUUUGCCAUGUGUAAGUCCAAA
rnacentral:lncRNA from 1 species